AACAACACUGAAACUGGAAACCAA
rnacentral:siRNA from 1 species